UACGUAGGGUCCGAGCGUUGUCCGGAAUUAUUGGGCGUAAAGAGCUCGUAGGCGGUCCGUUAAGUCGGAAGUGAAAUCUCAAGGCUCAACCUUGAAAUCGCUUUCGAUACUGGCGGACUUGAGGCAGGUAGGGGAAGGUGGAAUUCCUGGUGUAGCGGUGAAAUGCGCAGAUAUCAGGAGGAACACCGGUGGCGAAGGCGGCCUUCUGGGCCUGUUCUGACGCUGAGGAGCGAAAGCGUGGGGAGCAAACAAG
rnacentral:rRNA from 1 species